UACGUAGGGUCCGAGCGUUGUCCGGAAUUAUUGGGCGUAAAGAGCUCGUAGGCGGUUUGUCGCGUCUGCUGUGAAAUCCCGAGGCUCAACCUCGAGACGUCGAUGGAAACCAUCUGGCUAGAGUCCGGAAGAGGAGAGUGGAAUUCCUGGUGUAGCGGUGAAAUGCGCAGAUAUCAGGAAGAACACCUAUGGCGAAGGCAGCUCUCUGGGACGGUACUGACGCUGAGACGCGAAAGCGUGGGGAGCGAACAGG
rnacentral:rRNA from 1 species